GCCUUAGUAGUGCAAUAGGUAAACACAACUGACCGGGUACUCGUAGAUGCGGGUUCAAGCCCCGCUUGAGGUU
rfam:Dictyocaulus viviparus strain HannoverDv2000 D_viviparus-1.0_Cont9.32, whole genome shotgun sequence.